rnacentral:rRNA from 1 species
UAAGGAAUAUUGGACAAUGGGCGCAAGCCUGAUCCAGCCAUGCCGCGUGAAGGAUGACGGCCCUCUGGGUUGUAAACUUCUUUUAUACGGGAAUAAACCCCCUGAUUCUUCAGGGGCUGAAUGUACCGUAAGAAUAAGGAUCGGCUAACUUCGUGCCAGCAGCCGCGGUAAUACGAAGGAUCCAAGCGUUAUCCGGAUUUAUUGGGUUUAAAGGGUGCGUAGGCGGACUAUUAAGUCAGUGGUGAAAGCCUGCAGCUUAACUGCAGAACUGCCAUUGAUACUGAUGGUCUUGAGUACAUUUGAGGUGGGCGGAAUGUGUCAUGUAGUGGUGAAAUACUUAGAUAUGACACAGAACUCCGAUUGCGAAGGCAGCUCACUAAACUGUAACUGACGCUGAGGCACGAAAGCGUGGGGAUCAAAC